GCUCGUAGUUGAACCUUGGGUCUGGCUGGCCGGUCCGCCUCACCGCGAGUACUGGUCCGGCUGGACCUUUCCUUCUGGGGAACCCCAUGGCCUUCACUGGCUGUGGGGGGAACCAGGACUUUUACUGUGAAAAAAUUAGAGUGUUCAAAGCAGGCCUUUGCUCGAAUACAUUAGCAUGGAAUAAUAGAAUAGGACGUGUGGUUCUAUUUUGUUGGUUUCUAGGACCGCCGUAAUGAUUAAUAGGGAUAGUCGGGGGCGUCAGUAUUCAGCUGUCGGAGGUGAAAUUCUUGGAUUUGCUGAAGACUAACUACUGCGAAAGCAUUCGCCAAGGAUGUUUUCAUUAAUCAGGGAACGAAAGUUAGGGGAUCGAAGACGAUCAGAUACCGUCGUAGUCUUAACCAUAAACUAUGCCGACUAGGGAUCGGACGGGAUUCUAUAAUGACCCGUUCGGCACCUUACGAGAAAUCAAGGUUUUUGGGUUCUGGGGGGAGUAUGGUCGCAAGGCUGAAACUUAACGAAAUCGACGGAAGGGCACCACAAAGGCGUGGAGCCUGCGGCUUAAUUGGACUCAACACGGGGAAACUCACCAGGUCCAGACAAAAUAAGGAUUGACAGAUUGAGAGCUCUUUCUUGAUCUUUUGGAUGGUGCUGCAUGGCCGUUCUUAGUUGGUGGAGUGAUUUGUCUGCUUAAUUGCGAUAACGAACGAGACCUCGGCCCUUAAAUAGCCCGGUCCGCAUUUGCGGGCCGCUGGCUUCUUAGGGGGACUAUCGGCUCAAGCCGAUGGAAGUGCGCGGCAAUAACAGGUCUGUGAUGCCCUUAGAUGUUCUGGGCCGCACGCGCGCUACACUGACAGGGCCAGCGAGUACAUCACCUUAACCGAGAGGUUUGGGUAAUCUUGUUAAACCCUGUCGUGCGGGGG
rnacentral:rRNA from 1 species